rnacentral:tRNA from 2 species
GCCGGGGUGUCGGAAUGGCAGACGAUACGGACUUAAAAUCCGUUGUCCGUAAGGGCGUGAGGGUUCAACUCCCUCCCCCGGCA